rnacentral:rRNA from 1 species
UACGGAGGGGGGCUAGCGUUGUUCGGAAUCACUGGGCGUAAAGGGUGCGUAGGCGGGUCUUUAAGUCAGGGGUGAAAUCCUGGAGCUCAACUCCAGAACUGCCUUUGAUACUGAGGAUCUUGAGUUCGGGAGAGGUGAGUGGAACUGCGAGUGUAGAGGUGAAAUUCGUAGAUAUUCGCAAGAACACCAGUGGCGAAGGCGGCUCACUGGCCCGAUACUGACGCUGAGGCACGAAAGCGUGGGGAGCAAACAGGG